rnacentral:rRNA from 1 species
UGAAAGUGCCACACCGCCCUUGAUGUGCCCGAUCUCAUCUGAUCUGGGAAGGUAAGCACGGUCGGGCCUGGUUAGUACUCGGUUGGGAGACUGACAGGGCAGUGCUGUCUUUAAUUAUGC